AAAAAAGGAAGCAAGUUGUUGCGUUAGGAAAUUGUGGUUUUAGAACGGCAUUGGAAUAGAACUAGGUUGAAAUUUCAGUUGUCGAAUUAGGUUAAAGAAUAGCAAAGGUUUCGUUUUUAAGAUGUUUGCCUGGGGUGCGAAGGGAGGAUGAAUGACGCUCGCUUCUUGACGUCAUCGUUUCUGCUUUCCCCCUCUGCAGCGACUGGAAUAUUCUCGAACGUGUUGGAGGGGAAAACAAGCACAUUGUGGAGAGUCGUGGGCGACCCGGACUGAAAAGGCGGUCAGGAAGACAGUAUAAAAGCAAGAGAGAACGGUUUGACAUCAAGCUGCCUGCGGACAAGAGCAGUAAAGUCCAAUCAGAGCAAGAAGAACAUUUCGAAGCUACACAGGUUGAAGUGUAAACACCCCAGUCCAGCUACAAAUCCAACUGCAACCAACGUAAGAGGCAACUGCUAUAAAAGGUGAAGCAAGAUUUCAAGAGCUGGAAGAAGAACUUGGCAGAAUCAAGUGGGACAUCGUAGGACAUAAGUACAGCUAAAAGACGAAGGACUACUAGAACAAGAGAGGACAUCUUCUCUUCUACCAAGGCACUACAGAUGGACGAACAGGAAGCGUUGGAUUCAUUGUCCACAAGAGAAUCAAGAACAACGUUGUAGAGAUUGACAGCGCAUCAAAGAGGUCCGCAAGACUGAUAGUGAAAGUUUCAAGGAAGUAUGAACCUCAGGUCAUCCAAGUAUAAGUACCAACAACAAGCUAUUUGGAUGAAGUCAAAGAUUUUUAUGAAGUACAAGAACUACAUGAAAAUAGGAAUAGCCACUAUAAAUUCAUCAGUGACUUCAAUGCCAAAAUAGGGCCCAGCAAGAUGAGAAUUCGGUCGGCAAAUCUGGACAUGGCGACAGGAAUAAGAGGGGUGACAGACUAGUCGAGUUUGCAGAGAACAACUUACUCAUCAUGAACACCUUCUUCCAGAAGAAACCCAUCAGGAAAUGGACAUGGAGAGGACCCAACGGAGUGAAGAAUGAAAUUGACUACAUAGUCACCAACAAGAAGCACACUGUACAAGAUGUCUCAGUACUAAACAAAUCUUAACAUGAAGUGACCACAGACUUAUCAGACGCAAAAUACACAAACAGUGCACUGGAGAGAGUGAAACUUGUGAUGAUGAAAUCCAACACAAUCAACGUAGAAAUGCUCCAGAAGCAAAGUCUGGUGUUUCAACUGGAACGGAAGAACAGAUUCAGCGCUCUUCAAGCUCUGCAAAAAGAUGAAGCAAUCGAAGUAAACAAAAUCAAUGAGGUAGUGAUGCAAAUAAUUACAGAAACAGCAAAAAGCACUACUGGAACACAGAAUACAAAAUGCGACCUGAAGAUCACGCAAGAGACAAAAAACCUCAUAAAGAAAAGAAGAGAAAUGAAACAAACUGGAGCUCUGAAGUCAAAGAUUGAAUACACUGAGUUCUGCAAGACAGUAAGAAAGCGCUUUACUGAGGAUAUCCAGUCGUUCAACUGUAGGUUGGUAGAGAAGACUAUUGAGAACAACCGAAGCUUGAAUAAAGCAAAUCGUCUAGGGGAAAAACUGAUUUUAGAGGACGGGACUGUCAUCAAGAACCGCAGAUUGAUUCUGACAGAAUUGAUACAGAAAAUUAUAUCAAGACAAAAACAGCAACAUAGCAGAUGACAAUGACGAGAUAGAAAAUACGCAACCUGAGGAAGAAGUUCCAAAUGUUCUACCAGCAGAAGUGAAACAUGCUAUCAAACAUAUGAAGACAGGAAAGGCACCCGGAGAAGAUGGUACAACGAUUGACAUCGUGAAAGGAGGUGAAGAACUGAGAAAAAUACUGUUGCGUAUUUUUACAUCUUUAAGCAAAAGACAGUGCCAAACGACUGGAACAACGCAUCAGUGAUACUUUAACAUAAAGAUAUAAAGAAGACCUUAACAACUACAGACCCAUUAACUUACUUCCUAUAAUCUACAAACUUUUUACCAAGAUACUCACCAACAGACUUAAAGAUAAAUUUGA